UGGGGAAUCUUGCGCAAUGGACGAAAGUCUGACGCAGCGACGCCGCGUGUGUGAUGAAGGCCUUCGGGUUGUAAAGCCCUGUGGGGAGAGACGAAUAAGUUCAGGCUAAUACCCUGCAUGAUGACGGUAUCUCCUUAGCAAGCACCGGCUAACUCUGUGCCAGCAGCCGCGGUAAGACAGAGGGUGCAAACGUUGUUCGGAAUUACUGGGCGUAAAGCGUGUGUAGGCGGCCAUGUAAGUCGGAUGUGAAAGCCCCAGGCUCAACCUGGGAAGUGCAUUCGAUACUGCGUGGCUUGAGUAUCGGAGAGGUGGGUGGAAUUCUCGGUGUAGAGGUGAAAUUCGUAGAUAUCGAGAGGAACACCGGUGGCGAAGGCGGCCAACUGGACGAAUACUGACGCUGAGACACGAAAGCGUGGGGAGCAAACAGG
rnacentral:rRNA from 1 species